rnacentral:rRNA from 1 species
AUGGCCUUCCUCCGCAUGGGGGUNGUUGGAAAGUUCCGGCGGUCCAGGAUGACCCCGCGGCCUUUCAGCUUGUUGGUGGGGUAAUGGCCUACCAAGGCGACGACGGGUAGCCGGCCUGAGAGGGCGACCGGCCACACUGGGACUGAGACACGGCCCAGAUUCCUACGGGAGGCAGCAGUGGGGAAUAUUGCACAAUGGGCGAAAGCCUGAUGCAGCGACGCCGCGUGAGGGAUGACGGCCUUCGGGUUGUAAACCUCUUUCAGCAGGGAAGAAGCGCAAGUGACGGUACCUGCAGAAGAAGCACCGGCUAACUACGUGCCAGCAGCCGCGGUAAUACGUAGGGUGCGAGCGUUGUCCGGAAUUAUUGGGCGUAAAGAGCUCGUAGGCGGCCUGUCGCGUCGGAUGUGAAAGCCCGGGGCUUAACCCCGGGUCUGCAUUCGAUACGGGCAGGCUAGAGUGUGGUAGGGGAGAUCGGAAUUCCUGGUGUAGCGGUGAAAUGCGCAGAUAUCAGGAGGAACACCGGUGGCGAAGGCGGAUCUCUGGGCCAUUACUGACGCUGAGGAGCGAAAGCGUGGGGAGCGAACAGGAUUAGAUACCCUGGUAGUCCACGCCGUAAACGUUGGGAACUAGGUGUUGGCGACAUUCCACGUCGUCGGUGCCGCAGCUAACGCAUUAAGUUCCCCGCCUGGGGAGUACGGCCGCAAGGCUAAAACUCAAAGGAAUUGACGGGGGCCCGCACAAGCAGCGGAGCAUGUGGCUUAAUUCGACGCAACGCGAAGAACCUUACCAAGGCUUGACAUAUGCCGGAAACAUCCAGAGAUGGGUGCCCCCUUGUGGUCGGUAUACAGGUGGUGCAUGGUUGUCGUCAGCUCGUGUCGUGAGAUGUUGGGUUAAGUCCCGCAACGAGCGCAACCCUUGUUCUGUGUUGCCAGCAUGCCUUUCGGGGUGAUGGGGACUCACAGGAGACUGCCGGGGUCAACUCGGAGGAAGGUGGGGACGGCCCCUUAUGUCUUGGGCUGCACACG